UACGUAGGGCGCAAGCGUGUCCGGAAUUUAUUGGGCGAAAGAGCUCGUAGGCGGUUUGUCGCGUCUGCUGUGAAAACCUAAGGCUCAACCUUGGGCUUGCAGUGGGUACGGGCAGACUAGAGUGCGGUAGGGGUGACUGGAAUUCCUGGUGUAGCGGUGGAAUGCGCAGAUAUCAGGAGGAACACCGGUGGCGAAGGCGGGUUCUCUGGG
rnacentral:rRNA from 1 species